GGGGCGGUGCAGAGGAGCGAUCCGCGCGCCGUUUUCCUGCUUCUCGGAGGUUCCCGCUGGUUCUUGGUGUCGGGGGCUCGGGAGCUUUUCAUCUUAACCGGGCCAGUCCCAGUCGCCGUGAGGGGCCUCUCACGGGAGACCUGUUUUUGCGUGCGUGGUUGGAGGCGCGUCCUGCACCUCUCAGACUUCCGGCAGGGCCCAGAUUCACACUGACAAAUGAAGAAACAGGGGCGUGAAUACAGUUGAACCUGGUCACAUCAGAGAACCGGUCCGGAUUCCUAUCCUUCAGAUUCUGUUCCCUGGAACCACGCACCAUACCAGCGCUGUCUAUCCGUCUGAAUUCAGCCAGGGAAGCAGAACUGCUCUGAGGAUGCUGGGGAGCAGCAGAGUCCUUGACUGGAAUCAGCCUGGAGUGGACCCCGAGGAAGUUGUGCAUACCAGAGGGGCAGCCCAGAAAUCCUCUUCUGCUCCUGCUGCCCUCUGGAUGCUCCAAUCAAUCAACUGCACUGGGCAAGACUUCUCAGAUGCCAACGCUGAGGAGCGUUAAGUGGCUUCUGAUCUGAGGUCCAGCACUGCCAGAGAAGGAGAGGCCGGAGCUCAAAUGAAAAGAGACAGCACGUGCACGUGAGAGAGAGAAUCUCAAGCAGACUCCCUGCUCAGUGCAGAGCCCAAUGCGGGGCUCCAUCCCACGACCCUGAGAUCAUGACCUGAGCCAAAAUCAACAGUCGGACACUUACCCAACUGAGCCACCCAGGUGCCCCUUAAGCCAUACAUUUAUAUUUUAUGCCCUUUCCUGUGUGUAUUCUCUGUCACAAAAAGAUCUUUUGUAAACAUGAAAUACCAAGGGGAAAAAUCUAGCAGAAGAUAUGAAAGUGGGGGGAGGGAGAAUUGGAGGGGGUCCAAAGUUACAAAAUUCCAGUUAUCAGAUAACUCUGCACUAGAGAUGCAAGGUACAACGUGACAACCAUAGUAAAUACGCUGUGUGAUAGGAAAUUUGUUGAGAGUAGAUCCUAAGAGUUCUCACCACAAGGAGAAAAUUAUUUUUCUUUCUUUUCUUCUUUCUUUUUUUUUCUUUUUCUUUUUUUUUAAAGAUUUUAUUUAUUUAUUUGACAGAGAGAGAGUGAGAGAGGGAACACAAGCAGGGGGAGUGGGAGAGGGAGAAGCAGGCUUCCCACGGAGCAGGGAGCCCGAUGCGGGGUUCGAUCCCAGGACCCCGAGAUCAUGACCUGAGCCAAAGGCAGACGCCUAACGACUGAGCCACCCAGGCGCCCCUCUUUUUUUUUUUUUUUAAAGAUUUAUUUAUUUGAGAGACAGCAAGAGAGAGAGUGUGAACAAGGGGACAGAGAGGAGGAGGGGGAAGCAGACUCCCCACUGAGCGUGUAGCAUGGAGCCCAAUGCAGGGCUGAAUGAGGGGCUCGAUGCGGGACCCGAUCCCAGGACCCUGAGAUCAUGACCUGAGCCAAAGUCAGACGCUCAACUGACUGAGCCACCCAGGCACCCCUCUUUUCUUUUUACUGUCUCUCCAUGAGAAGAACAUUAGCCAAACCUAGUGUGGUGAUGAUUCCACAAUAGAUAUGUCAGACCAUCAUGCUGUACAUCUUAAGUGAUGUACGUCAAUUACUUCUCAGUAGAAGUGGUAAAAAAGAUAAGAAAGAACUUUCCAAGAAAAAUUCUUUCUCGAAAGUACGUAACACAUGGUGGUGAUGCCUACACACAACAACUUUGAGUUUACUUGACACCACUGAACUUCACACCUAGAAAUGGUUCUGAUGGUAACUUUUAUGUGUAUUUUGCCCCAAUUAAGAAAAACUCCUCAACACCCAGAGAGUGACAUUAAAACCUCCCUAAAUACUUGGAGAGUGACCCCAUGUGGACAUGUCAGAAAACUCAGUAUUGCAAAGAUACCCCCCAAUUGUUGGUUAUAGUGUAACAAUCAAGUUCCCAUUGUUGAUUUUUUUCCCCCUUGGAACUUGACAAGCUGACUCUGGUCCAAGAGGAACGAGACAGGGAGCCUUGCUCACCACACAUCAAGACUUCCUUUAAUGCUCAAGUCCUAAAGGCAACAUCUCAGACCCAGGGCUGGACGGAAGAUCCACAGAACCGACCUGAGCGCCCAGAGACACACACGCCCAGGGGAGGCAUGGGGGGGGGGGGGUGGGCCAUCAGUGGGACGCUGGCUAACUGGGGAGGUCCCCCAAAAGAACGCACCUGGCAGCUUUAGUCAUCAAAACCGAAAGCCAGAAACAGCCUGCUGUCCAUGGGCAGGGAAGACGGAUACAGCAGUUGUGGUGUAUUCCCACAAAGGAAGAUAGCGUCAUAGCAAAAUUGGAUGAAGCAUCACUACCCCUAUGGCUGAACCUGAGAAAUCGUGUUGAGCGAGGAGAGCAAGUCACAGAUGACACAUGGCAUGGUUCCGCUGCAUAAAGCUCGAGAGCAAGUAAAACUAAAAAAUGUAUUGUUUAGGGAUGCAUACCAAUGUGAUUUGAAAAAACGGUUAAAAAUGUGAGGGAAUGAGAACUGUCAAGUGAGGGGUGAUGGAGAAUUCU